rnacentral:rRNA from 1 species
AUACGGAGGGUGCAAGCGUUAUCCGGAAUCAUUGGGUUUAAAGGGUCCGUAGGCGGGCUAAUAAGUCAGGGGGGAAAUCCCACAGCUUAACUGUGGAACUGCCCUUGAUACUGUUGGUCUUGAGUUACAGUGAAGUGGUUAGAAUGUGUAGUGUAGCGGUGAAAUGCAUAGAGAUUACACAGAAUACCGAUUGCGAAGGCAGAUCACUAACUGUAUACUGACGCUAAUAGACGAAAGCGUGGGGAGCGAACAGGAUUAGAAACCCCAGUAGUCC